GACCACAGCCAUAUCACCCUGCAGCCCAAGACUGGUUGCCCACUGAAGCAAAGCAGGGUUGAGCCUGGUCAGUACCUGGAUGGGAGACCUCCUGGGAAAACUAGGUGGCUGUUGGAA
rnacentral:rRNA from 1 species